CGGCGCUCGCAGCCUCCGCCGCUUCCGGGCAGAUAGGUGCCUUUUCUUGCUCCUUGCUCUUGGAGUUCUUCUCUUAGUCCCUGUUCCCUGGAUGAAAGCAUCGCUCCGAGCCUCAUGGGAGGAAUGAAGGAAGAAUCGAGACUAGAUAUCCAACUAAGGCUUCGGGACAUGUUUUGAGCGAAGAUGGGUGUUUCUGCCCGGAUAGUAUAAAUCGAGGAUCCAGGUCUGGGCAGAUUCAACCAUGGGAGCGAACACUUCAAGAAAACCACCAGUGUUUGAUGAAAAUGAAGAUGGUAAGAAAUAUGGGAUAGUGGCAUAUAAAAAAUAGAAUUUUGCAAAAUUCAAGUAUAUGCUUCUAGUUUCAUAAGUUAAGCAUAAGCAUGGUCUGUAGGGCCUUGAAGGAAAAAGGCAAAGCUGCAUGAGUGAGUCUGAGGACUUUGUAGGCUCAUAGCUAGGUUUUACCUUCCACUUUCCAUGGGACCUUUGGCAGCUUUCCUAAUCUCCACUAUACCAAUGUCCUUUGUCCAAAGGGAGCUGCAGUUGGGCAUGUGGUGGAUAGUUAAAUGAUUUGUUUGUCCUCUGUGCUGUUCCUUGGCAGUUGAAGUUACCCCCAUUGCUCAUUGUUACAGAAAAUACAUUAUCAACAUGUACAUGAAUGAUAACCAGUGCUCAUAAUAUUAUAGAAUGAAGCUGUGCCUUCUGAAUUUCCAACUGCCAAGCUUUUGUGUACUAGACAAAUCCCAUAAUGCUACGUCAUAGAAAAAAG
rnacentral:lncRNA from 10 species